GUGUUGCAGAUUGCACUGCUGUCUGUGCGGCACUUGGGAUCCGAGACCGCGGCCGCCCCCCUGGCGGCUUUCCCACGGGGACUUGCUCCUCUCACCGCAGGAAGGACUGCAUUCCACCUGCUACCUGCUUGCGGCCAGCACAGCAGUGCAUGUCUGUACUGGCUGAAGUGAUUAUUAACUCGUUUAAUGUUAGACAUCAGUAUUAGAGAAGCUCCACUGGAGGACAGCCUCAGUGUGGGGGUUCUCCUGGAGCUGGUAAUGGAUGGAGGCCAGAAGAGUCAGCUCUUAACUUGGAGGAUCACCUUCAUCAAUUUUUUCAUGUGAAAAGAUCUCCUGUGAUCUGAGUACGUAUGCAGACACCCACCACCAACAUGCUGAGCAGAGGAGAAACAGCAGGCACUGGGCCAGGCAUUGAGUGGGCAGAAAUCCAGCCAGCGCAGCACACACGAGCCUCCUGCUGUCCUGCCGGCCGGCCUGUGACACGAGGGCUGGGUCAUGACCCCGCAAGGUAUUUAGGAUUCUACAAUGGUCGCACUGUAAUCAUUAGGCUUCUGAUUCCAGUAAGUAAGGCAGAAGGAGGACUCCUGAAGCCUCCGAAGGAAGGAAAUCAUUACAGGGCCCUACAGAAGUAGGUCAUGUGCUACAGCUGCUCAUAGUUUAAGAGGAAGAAACAUGGGACCUCAAACCUGGAACACAACUCUUUCAAAAUGCUUGAGAGCAGCCCAAGAAAAACAUCCUCCCGAGGCUUAUCUAAUAACCAUGAUCUAUAAUCGUCUCAAUGUGUGCUUGCAUUUCCUUCGGAGUUUGCACCUACUUCCCAGAGCUAACGAGAUGCUGAAACAGAACACAGAAAAAUUUAAUGAAGGGGAUUUAAUAGUUUGUGUUAAAGCUAAUAUGGUCCAUUAGGAGCUGUCAUUUUUAUAAACAAUGAAGAUAUGUUACCCUCUCCUUUGGUGUAAAGUCAUUCCAUGCAGGACCUGUAAACAUUCAGUAAUGAUCUGUAGAACUUGCAUGAAAGACAAUUAAGACACCACUUGAAAAGUCUCUUUUCCUCACAUAUUUGGUUUCUUGCUAAAUAAACUCGUAAAGAUCAUACAUGUGUCGGCGUAUGCUCACGUCGUACAGAAUAACACGUGUGCGCACUGCCUUAACACAAAAAAUAGACAUCUUAUAAGUGAGUUUGGUUUCUAUGAGCUCGGGAAAUAUCAGAGGCGAUUAGUUAAAUUAGGAUCACAGUUUCUGUUCUUUGGUUGGUGCUAUAAUAAUAGAACAACCGCUAUGCUAUGGUAGGGCAGGGAACAUAAAAUUAACAGUUCACAAUGCCAUUAAAGGCGCAAUGACAACCUUUGAAAGUUGUAAAUAAAACAGUUCCAUAAAAUCUAUUUAUUGCAAAGAUAGUAGGUUCUGGUAGGAUCCAAAUAAUACCUUUCGGAAUUUAUUUUUUAAUUGCAGCCGGCACCGGGCAGGGGCAGGGCUUUAGGAGCCGUAUACCUUUUUGGGGACUGGCUGAAUGUACUUGAGAAAAUGAAAUCUACUUGACUCUCUCUGACUUCGUAAAUAGAAUUUGCUUCCUUGCUCUCCGUUUUCUUAAAGACAAACGGUUCCUUCUUAUAGGUUUUAGGUCUGGCAGGGUUUGCUGAAAAAUUCUUCUAGCUCCUUUACGUUUCCUUCUGUGGAUAAGAGGGAAAGGUGGGGGGAGGAGGGAGUGGGGAGGUCCAGAUUAAAAUUAUUCUAGUUAUUCACAUAGACUUGAAAGCUCCGGUGAAGAGUUUUGAGGAGUAGCCUCGGGCAGAACUUGCUAUCAAUGAAGGCCAGGAACAAAAAACAUUUAAAAGCAGAUUACAAAUCCCUCCUAACAAAGCAAAAUCAAAUCACUGAUCGAUAAGUGCAGCUGGGUUUAAAUUGUUUCCUUAAAAAGGCUUUAAAAACUUUUUUGAACGAGAAGCUGGAGGCUGAACCUUUCAUGCGUUAGAGCAAGUUCCUUCUGGAAAAGUCUUUCCCCUCUUUUCCAGGGAGGCCUCUCCUGGGACCAGCCAGAUCUCCUCUCUUCUUGCUAAACAUGGCCCUGUGGCUGGAAAAGGCUGGCAACAGGGUUUCCAAGAAAGGGAAAGAUGUUCUUUGAUGUAUGUCAAGUGCUCUAAGAUAUUUUAGCUUCUUCCCAACAGCCUCGCUGGCUUCCUCAUGGUCAUCCCUGAACUGUGUGCGAAAUGCCCAGACCGGGGUGUCUCCUGUUGCUAUAAAAUGAACCUGAAGCCUAAAAAAAAAAAAUUUUUUUGACAAAGAAAGGCCCCAGACAGUAGGUCACUCAAGCCACAAAAAUGUGCCGGAUAGACUGUGGCUUGCUGUCUAGAUCAAGGCCAUGUGGGGGAUGUUGAGACCUACCUCCCAGAUCCAUACUGAAACUCAGAUGCCUAGCUCUUUUGGUGACUGAAUUCCAACAGAGUUUUUGAAAAACAAGGGGAGAGAGAAAAGAAAGGAAACCAAUGAGCAAGUGGUGUUCAAUUUAUUCACAUAUGUUCCAAAUGGCACAGAGAUAAGCAAAAAAGGGUUCUGGUACAUUUUUUUAAUGAUUUCAUUAUCACCAGACAAGAAUUGAAAGAUUGUCCAGAUGCUAUUGGAAAGAUAGAAAGAUGAGAUUAAAAUUUAAAAAUAAUAAUAACACCAUGAAUGGCUCCCUGCCCCUGGGAACGGCCAAGGCCGACCUGAUGUGAUCUUUGAAGUUCGGCCUGUUUGCAAAUCAGUUUAUAAAAAGGGAAGGUGGAGAUUAGGUAGAAAAAUUUGAUUCUGGCCUGGCCCCUCUCUUGGCUCCAUGAGCAUCAUUUGAUGGUGAGGGGGUUGGGGGGUGGACUGUGAUUUUAGCCCAAUAAUCAGUGGAGGCAAAAGGUAAAGGGAGGCUCCGUUGUUCAUAUGGGCCUAGCCAGGCUGAGCGGUGGGCCGCUGGCCUCAGAGAGCCCCUGUCUCACAUACAAGGAUCUACGAAGGACAGGAAUUAGCCUGCUGCAAGAGCCACGGCUUGGGUCACAGACUUAUUCCUUCCUUUCUCCUGGGCUCCUCCUCUCCCAUAAUGUUCACCUGGAAGCAAUGCCUCCUGCCCUGUUACAAAGUGUCCUGGCCACUCUGGUCUGAAGAAAGCUUUCCCUUUCCUAGGGACUCCUCUCCUGCUCACGUGGAAAUGAUUUACCGCCUAGCAAAUGGAUUUUUUGUCUCCACACGGGUGUGCAUGUCAUCUAAGAAGACUGUAAGCUUCCAGAAGGUGAGGACAGCGGUGUUUUUAUUCCUGCUCUGGGCUCUAUUGUCCCAAUUGCUCAGUAAAAAUCGUUCUAUCACUUGAUUGAUACGGAAGCUGAAAAUAGGUGGCCAAUCACCAUGUCCAGGAAAAGUACAGGAAGGUUAAAAUCUUACCCAAGGGGACACCUGGGUGGCUCAGUGGUUAAAUGUCUGCCUUUGGCUCAGGCUGUGAUCCUGGGUCCUGGGAUCAAGUCGCAUCAGGCUCCCCACAAGGAGCCUGCUUCUCCCUCUGCUUAUGUCUCUACCUCUCUUUCUGUGUCUCUCAUGAAAAAAUAAAUAAAAUCUUAAAAAAAAAUCUUACCCAAGGACUCCAAGCCUGUUUAGCGGUAAGACUUGGCAAGUAUCACUCGAAGCAUCCUACCUGUGGAAGGAUGGAAGCAAAAAGCCUCUUUGAGAAGAAAACCUCCCUUUAAUAGCACUGCCUGUCCCCAGAGUUUUCUUCCAGAAAUCCUCUGAGAGCAAGAACUUCGACUCCAGAGUCUGGAUUCCAGGCAACAGGGGCCUCCCUGCUGCCCUUUUAUUCCAUUAAGCUAAGACCUUCCAUUACCCAGCAAAAGGAGCAAUACUCUCAUCUCCCUGAAAAUAUUUGAGUUGUAUAUGCAGCGUGGCUCACUGUCAUCUACUUUUGGCAAGACCAUUACUUUUGGUUGUUCCACUUUUAUUGUUCUGCAUGACAAAUGCAGGACACGGGUGUUUUACAGCUUCUAGAGCACUCUCUGACCUAUCUUGCAACCCCAAGAAAGUUUCUCCAGCAACAGAGUUGUUGUCUAAUGUUGGAAAUCACCUCUCUCUGCAAAAUAUUACCUGAACAUGAUAAAAAUCAGUAUGGCUAUCUGGGUUCUGUAGUUGACACAUUUUAAAGGAUGCUUAUAAAGUAGGUUCUCAAAAUUCUAACAGUAUCUAUUUGUCUUUUCUCUUAGGAUUAACUUUUUUUUUAGGUUUUAUUUUUAAGUAAUCUCUAUUGCCAACGUGGGGCUUGAACUCACAGUCCUGAGAUCAAGAGUCGCUUACACUACAUACUGAGUCAGGCAGGUGCCCCUAUAAUUCUUUAAUUUUUACCAAAAGCAUCUAUUUCUUGUUCCCAGGAAUGGAAACAAACAAUAUAUAGACGAGUGUUUAUUCUGUUAAAGGUUGAUCGCUGGCCUGCCUGUGCCACUCAAAACUUUUGCUUUUGCUCUCAGUGUGGCUUGAAGGAUGAGUCUCUCAGCUGUUAACUGUCUUCAUUAGUUGAUGUGCCACUGAAAUUCUUUUUGCA
rnacentral:lncRNA from 1 species